GGCCUUAUGGUCUAGUCGUAUGAUUCCUCCUUUGGGUUGAUGAAUUCCCUUCUGAAUUCCAGACUACAAUGGAGGAGGUCCUGGGUUCAAUUCCCAGUGAGGCCC